UCCCUGGUGGUCCAGUGGUUAGGACUCCACACUUCCACUGCAGAGAGCAUAGGUUCAAUCCUUAGUCUGGGAA
rnacentral:tRNA from 1 species